UACGCGAGCUGGGUUCAGAACGUCGUGAGACAGUUCGGUCCCUAUCCGCCGUGGGUGUAGGAUAUUUGAGGAGAGCUGUCCCUAGUACGAGAGGACCGGGAUGGACGAACCUCUGGUCUACCAGUUGUUCCGCCAGGAGCAUCGCUGGGUAGCUACGUUCGGAAGGGAUAAACGCUGAAAGCAUCUAAGCGUCAAGCCCACUCCAAGACUAGAUAUCCCGUAGGGCUAACCUACCUAAAGACCCCUCGCAGACUACGAGGUUGAUAGGCUGCAGGUGGAAGCGCAGCAAUGCGUGAAGCCGAGCAGUACUAAUCGGUCGUGAGGCUUAACCUU
rnacentral:rRNA from 1 species